CUCACAUGGUCUCUGCCGGCAACCAGGCGACCACGGGCACAGUGUUGGCUACCCCUGAUAUAAGGAAACAGGUGGAACGGCGCCCCCUUGACUGUAAUGUGUGUCAAACAAAAGUGUAGCUCACUGGGUGUAGCCAGGUGAAGAUGGUACCAUUGUUUGGUAACAUGCUGAUGGGAAACUGGAUUGUAAAGACUGCAGAAAAAGGAGUUCUGAAGAGAGCCAGUGUAGGCCACCACCAGUAGACCAGCAGACAAGCAGACAGUUAAGCUAACAAUGUCAAACAACCAGCAGAGUUAGCAAAUUAUGUUAAUGCUAUCAACCACUGAGCUUAUGACAAGCUUUUUUUAAGCUAGCCACCAAAAAGUUUCAAAAGUUGAUUCCUGGACUUCUACAGCGACUGAGAAUAGAAGUUGUAGCUAAUUAGAAAUUGGAGCAUGGCCCAGACAGGACAAGUGGAUAGAGCUGAAGCACCUGUGCACAGGAGAAAAUUGGACAUUUAACAUGGAGUCGUGGAAAGCCUCAAGUCCAGAGGGAACUAUGACAUCGUUCUUGGACAUGUUUCCUUCAGCUGGACUUCAACUGCAGACACAUUGACAAGGACAGACAGAUGGAGAGACAGAAGGGCAGAGCGAAGAGGAGAGGAGGGUGCAGCCCGUGACGAGGAGGUAAUAACUCCACACCUCGUCUGCAGGACGAGACAUCAAAAGACCCUCGACUUAAAUGAAUUCUGACAGACUCUGGGUGCAGCCCAUCAAUAUCCUCCGACGCCAUUAAAUCAGCAUCCAAAAACUGAGCUGGAUUCCUGCUCAUAAACCCACGGUCCCAUGACAAAGGAUUUGGACACUAACGAGAAAGCAGGUGACGGAUGCACAAAUCCUGAGACGGGUAGCUAAGUGUUGAGCAGAAUCCCUAAUGAAAGGGAAGCAUUUUAAAUCCCAUGCUGCUCCCAGAGCAGCAUUCAAACAGACAGACAAAAUGAAAAUGUUUGCCAGAGCUGUACUGAUUAAAAGAUUACA
ensembl:lncRNA